rnacentral:lncRNA from 1 species
UAUUAUAGUGAAGUGUGAACCUGCAAAAUGCACAUUACAGACUAUCAGAGAGCAUUAGCUUUCUUUCUGACUCCCAAGUAUAAUAGACUUUUAGUAAUCAAAAGGAAUUAUAAUUCACACACUAUCAGUCUCAGUCCACUUUCUUUAAGCUCAAUCCCCAAUGCCAAACUCAAGAUCUUGGCAUACACUACUCAAAAGAUUCCUCAAGAUCAUCACAAUCAUCUUCACAAACAAAACAUAAGCAUCUAAUCUUCUUUGUGUCUAAGUUAAACCUUUCCCCUUCAUCUACACAUACAAAUAAUCUACUUUUGGGCUUUUAGCCUCCCUUUUGCCUCAUCUUUUGUCAACAUGCUUGAAUAGUAAAUUGGGAGGAUAAGAAGCAUGUAGGGGUCAUAUUCAUGCACCUAAAAAAAAGAUGGGAUUUUUUAUAUCUUUUAGAAUUACUACCUAUCUAGGAAUAUGUGACAAACUAAACACGAGAUCAGUUGGGCAGCCAAGAAGAUGAGCCGCACUACUGCCGCCGGCCAACCGACACCGCUCCGACGGCCUCUACCAGAACAGCCCCUCUCUCUCUACUGUUCAAGCCCACCACCGCCUUGCACCACUCCGCUCGCGGCGUUCGCCGGCGUUAGCCGCCGGACGAUGCUCCGCCCUCCCUCCUGCCACACCCAAACUCAAGACUUCCAUACCAAUCUUCAACAGAAGCCAAUUACAAUUUUAUUCAAAAUUCCAAAUUUUAAGUAUAUUUAUACAUAUAACCCUAAUUAUAUCUAGGAAACGGAUUAGAGCAUUUUUAAACAAACAUGGUGCAAAUGUUCAAAUCCAUCCCAUCAUCUCAUCCAUGCUCGGGCGAUCCCGUUCAAGUUAUCGCCGCUCCCGGACUCUCCGAGAUUGAUUUCAGGCACACUACCGACAAAACUCGUGGUCUUUCACUUCCUCUUCGAACCUCCCCCUCUCAUGUUGGCAGAUGCGUACUAAUACUAAAUCUCUCUACUGAUUCACACACUCACACACAGAUUCUUUGUUCUUAUUAUGCUACAACUUGUGUUAUUGUGUCUGUUCUGUGUGAAACCAGCUUCAUUUGGUAUGUAAUCUCUUGUCUGUAUUCUGAUGAUGCAACCCUUUUUUCUUUUAUCAUAUAUUUCUGUUUCUUUUCUUUUUAACUGAUUCAGAUUAUUGUUGUUUGUAUUGUUUGUAAGAAAAUUGAAAUCUUAUUUCUUUUUAAUUGAUUUUUUACUGUUUGUGUGAAUUUGUGUGAAUUAGGUUUUUGAUUUAUCAUUUAGAUGUGAUUUAUGUUUUCGAUUUCUUAUAAAUCACAAUAUGUUAGAACUAUGUAACAUCUUGGUCGGUGGUGGUGCUGGUGGUGUAGCGGUGGUUGUACCGGCGGCUGAAUCCGUUACGUUUUUGAAUUCAUAAUUAUUAUGAAUUUGAUUUUUAGGCUAUAAUUCUAUUUUUAAAUUGGAUUGGCUUUAAUUACGGGAUCCGUUUUGUUGACUAUUUAUUAUUUGUCUCUAUUAGCAUUAAUUUGAAUAGCUACAUUUUAAAUUAUAAUUGUGAUUGGAUAAAUACUUUUUAUGAAUAUUCAGUACCAUUUAUGAGAGUCAUUAAGAAUGACUUUAUCGUGCCUUUAAUGGCUUCUUUGUGCCGUUGAUGGCUUUUUGAUCCACUUUUGGAUGCCAUUUUUAUGACUUUGUUUGACAUUUUGUAGAUCAUUAUAUUUAAUAUAUUUACUUACGUUUUAAACUUUGUUUUAUUCUUCACUUAAAUUUUUAAUUUUCAUGUGUCUAACCAAAGGAUUAUCCUUUGGUUAGAAAUUAACUAAUAUUUUUAUAGUAUUUUAUUUUCUAUCUAUUUUUGUUAUAUAUAAUCUUUUGUUUAUAUAUAUGCCCGUGAUUUUCUUGUGUAUUGAUUUAUGUUUUGUUUGAUUUGUUUUUUUCAGGAUACUUUGGAAGCGAGCUGUUAUGGGACUUGUGGGUUUUUCUUUUCUAAUUCAUUUAAGCUUUAUUGUCUAAGCGUCCGGAGUUAUGCUUGCAUGACUUUCGGUUAGAUGAUAAACUUUCUUGAAAGAAAGAAAUCCCAGAUGCGGUUUAUUGUAUUUCGAUACAAUUCAUCUACGAAUGUAGACCUUACAAAAAAAAAAAAAAAGAAUUACUACCUAUCUAAAACUUUGUAAGAAUGUGUUGAUAGCUUGAUGGGACAAUAUGAUUGUAAGGGGCAAGGGGAUUGAAAUCAUAAAAGGGUUGGACCAUUUCAUUUCCAUUUUGGCUUUAAGGUCUCUUUUUUGUUCAUCAUUCACUUGUGUAAACAUUUGGAAAUUAAUGAGAUUGAGAUUGGUCACAACCAAGUGAGUAUAAAUACACUCAAACAUUUGGAAUCUUUUGAUUAUAAAUUUGCAAUGUGCCUCCUUUAU